GUACUAGUGCGAGCAGCCGAGGCAGAGCUGGAGUUUUCAAACUACUACAGUGAAUUCCUAUGGAAGCCAGGCAGGCACUGCGGGAAACAUCUCCCGAGAACAGCUGUGAGCAGUAGCGUACGAGUGACAGUGAAGAAAUUUCUAACGCUCCCAUGGAAAUAUAUGACGAAGUAACUUACAUUUAAAAGCGCAAAUCCUUUUGAAACUGUGAGGAAAACAGCGCCUUUAGCUCCUGCUUCACUACUCGUCACCAUGUCAGUCAGAGCAACCGACCACCGCAUGAGUCCAUCAUCAGUGGCCAAAAGAAAUCAAAGUGGCUUGACAUAUUUUGCAAUCCUUCUGCCAAGACCAUGCUUGUGCCUGUGUACGUUGACAAUGAGGACCAAACUGAUGACCUACUUUCACCUCACUUAAUUUCUGGACAGGACACCCACACAGACAGUGACACAAUCAAGUUUAUUAUGGAUGUCCUUUUUCCAGAGGUGGGUCCUGUGUUAGCUGUGCUCCUCAGAUUUAUUUUGUAAUUGCUUUAAAAAAAUGUUUUGGUUAAUGUAGAAAGGAUACUCAGUUUUGUUGUACAAAAAAAUAAAAAAUAAUUUUAAUACUGAAAUGAUACUACUUGUUUGGGUGUGACCCAUCUUGACUUAACUCUUUCUUUGAUAGUAUCAUGGUUCUGCCCCAUCUUGUCUUGCUUUUCUUGACCUAGUGGCAGAAUCGUGACAGAACCUCUUAUUUCAUGUGGAGAGAGGCGUUUUGGCCCUGUUGGCCUUCCACUCUCCGGUGUGGCGUCUCUGUUCCCGGCCUUUCGUUGCCUCAUUAUUGAUUGUUUAUUAGUUCAUGCCCCACACCUGUUCCCUCUUGAUUUGUUCCCUUUAUAAGGUCCCUGUGUUUUCUGUCCUGUGCUGGUUCAUUGUCGUUUGUAUGGUGAGUGCCUGUUCCGUGUCAGUCUAGUCUAGUGUAGUCAUUUGUAGUUCAUGUUUAUGUUAAUCUUAGUCUUGUUAGGUGUAUUUAGUCUUAGUCCUGUCCUGUUGUAGAUUCCCCUGUUUUGUUUUGUUACCCCCACGUGGGUCUUUGUUUUGUAUUUAUAUUUUAUUAAAUGUCUUGUUAACCCCUUACCCGCUGUCUGCGUCUGGGUCCUCUGUUCCCUGACUUUGUGUCUCACCGAACCGUAACAUGACAGAUAGUCUAUCAUCUGUUCCCUUGCUGGUUUGGAAAAUCUCACCAUGCUGGAGGCUGAGGAGGAAUUUCUACAAGGGCCUGUCAUUGACAAGAUAUUGAGCGGGAGCAGUUUGACAGGAGGAUUAAGAACAUUUUGAAGAAGAGUGGCAACCCAUAGGAGUCAUUAUCGAGAGCCAUCCUAUAAUGAUCAUCAAUCCUGUUUUUGAUAAUGGUCUUAAUAAAUAAUGUUGUUCACAAUAAUGUUGGUCACUUUUUUCUUAGAAGUUAAAAGACCUUAGAAUUUUUUUAAAGCGGUGAAUUAUGUUUUUCUUCAUGAAAUAGUAUGCAGGACACUGUUCUAAAUGCAGGGCAUGAAAUUUAAUUGAUGUUUCAUAUGAUUGCACUUAAUGUCUUAAUGUCUUAUAGGCUAAAUAUGGUUAAUAUUUGAAUGUAACUUUGCCUAUACAUUCACAACAAACACUCAAGUCUUCUGUAUAUUUGCAUAUUAAUAGGCCACAGUAGAUUAUAUAUUAUUGUUGUACUGUACAUCUGAUGCAACUGAUCUGUAUUAUUAUUCAUUUUUCAAUUCACAAAAACAUUAAAUUGCAG